ensembl:snRNA U6 U6 spliceosomal RNA
GUGCUCACUUUGGCAGCACAUAUAUUAAAAUUGGAACAAUGCAGAAAAGAUCAUUAUGGCCCCUCUGAAAAGGAUGGUAUGAAAAUUUGUGAGUUGUUCCAUAUUUUA